rnacentral:rRNA from 1 species
GAUGAACGCUGGCGGCGUGCUUAACACAUGCAAGUCGAACGGAAAGGCUCCUGCUUGCAGGGGUACUCGAGUGGCGAACGGGUGAGUAACACGUGGGUGAUCUGCCCUGCACUUCGGGAUAAGCCUGGGAAACUGGGUCUAAUACCGGAUAGGACCACAUUUUGGAUGGUGUGGUGGAAAGUUUUUCGGUGUGGGAUGAGCUCGCGGCCUAUCAGCUUGUUGGUGGGGUAAUGGCCUACCAAGGCGUCGACGGGUAGCCGGCCUGAGAGGGUGUACGGCCACAUUGGGACUGAGAUACGGCCCAGACUCCUACGGGAGGCAGCAGUGGGGAAUAUUGCGCAAUGGGCGCAAGCCUGAUGCAGCGACGCCGCGUGGGGGAUGACGGCCUUCGGGUUGUAAACUCCUUUCGCUAGGGACGAAGCGCAAGUGACGGUACCUGGAGAAGAAGCACCGGCUAACUACGUG